CCGUAGGUGAACCUGCGGAAGGAUCAUUACAGUUAAACAUAUAC
rnacentral:rRNA from 1 species